GUUGGAUAUGGAGGAAAUUAGAGACAUGGUAGCAUGAGGAAGAUUUGACAGACCACCACUGGCAGGAAAAUAGCACGUGAAUGUAUGUCGGCAUAGAUAUGUACAAAAACCAUAGCUGUUGCUCGAAGCAGGUGAUUCUAAGGUCCUCCCGGAAGCCAGUGUGAAUUUCAAUUGGAAAAGGUGUGUCUGGUGCCAUUACCUAUCUGCAGUACCAGAGAGGAUCACCUAGAAGCCACCAGGAACCUCACUUUAGCCAUCUUCUAGGCUGGUGCUUACAACUGAUAAAGGAAGAAAAAUGACUUCUUCUCUUCUGCCUGCAUAAUAUUAUGCAAAUCCUCUCACUGGCAGAACUUCUACAAAAAUCCCAUCGGUGCUAGGCCUAAAAUGAGGUGAAGAUAUCAGGGAAGAGAAUUCAUGAAAGUGACGUGCAUACUUAAGACCAGAAAAUAUUUGCCUUGAGAAAAUUGUCACAAGAAUUCUCCAUCUAUGCCAUGUUUAGCAGUGUCCGCUCAUUUUAUUUGUGCUUUAUUACAUGAAACUAGGCCUCACCUUUCUACCCAUUUUAACAACAAACCUGCCUGCUAUUCUGGAAAGAAGUGCCACUCUCUGUAAAGAGACCCUUCCUAACAAAAUGUGUAUGUUGUCCCUGUCCUCAGCGAAUGUUUUCCUGGAUGCUGAGACAUACAUCCAGUGAUCAAGACCUAUAUAACCUGGGAGAAGUCAUCAAGCCGUCUACCAUGAUCAAGAAUCAAUUAGAAGAUAACUCAGAUCAUGUGAUGUUGCCUAGCCAUGAGAUACUUGAACUGAAUAAGGUGAUCAUUAAAAUGAAAACAGCUGUGGAUGAUCCCUUCCACGGGCGAAAAUCAUGUGUUAUCAAAAUGCAUAUAAUCUUCGGAACCUUCCCCCAGUAUUCCUCAAAGGAGCAUGCGGAUGCUUUUCCUUGCUGCUGUGUGUAGAGAGAAAUGGAAACGCAGAAACUUCACGGCCUACAGGAGAGUGCAAUCGAGCUAAUGAGAUCUGGAUAUUUCAAGCAUAAUAACAACCUCCCAUCCAGGCUAGAGGAGACACAGAAGAUACAGAACCACAGGAAAAAUGAAUUCUGAUCAAUUUCAUUUUAGUUUAUAUUAAAUACAUCCUGAAACAGCCCAAGGUUAUUUCUGAAGAAUUUGAUUUUAUAAUUGCGUUAUAUAUGUUUAACUAUAGAUCUAA